rnacentral:rRNA from 1 species
AUUGAACGCUAGCGGGAUGCCUUACACAUGCAAGUCGAACGGCAGCACGGACUUCGGUCUGGUGGCGAGUGGCGAACGGGUGAGUAAUGUAUCGGAACGUGCCCAGUAGCGGGGGAUAACUACUCGAAAGAGUAGCUAAUACCGCAUACGCCCUACGGGGGAAAGGGGGGGAUCGCAAGACCUCUCACUAUUGGAGCGGCCGAUAUCGGAUUAGCUAGUUGGUGGGGUAACGGCCCACCAAGGCGACGAUCCGUAGCUGGUUUGAGAGGACGGCCAGCCCCACUGGGACUGAGACACGGCCCAGACUCCUACGGGAGGCAGCAGUGGGGAAUUUUGGACAAUGGGGGCAACCCUGAUCCAGCCAUCCCGCGUGUGCGAUGCAGGCCUUCGGGUUGUAAAGCACUUUUGGCAGGAAAGAAAUCGCAUGGGUUAAUACCCUGUGUGGAUGACGGUACCUGCAGAAUAAGCACCGGCUAACUACGUGCCAGCCGCCGCGGUAA